GUGUUGCUGAGCCGCAUGUCCGCAAAAACAAACAGAAGGACGAGUGUAGCAGUGACUUGCAGGGAGGACGCGACGCGACGAGCCAGCGGGAGGCUGUGGGCGGGGCGGAUCAGUGUCAUCAGUCUAGCUUCUGCCCGCCUGAGGGUAGGACGCCGUGCCCUAACGAGAAUGCUGUGGGCGGGGCUGGUGUCACUGGCCGCCGUGGGUGUGGCGGCAGCGCGGCAGGACAUGGUGGCGUCGCGUGCGUGCUACCAUCAUGGGGAUAACGGAGGCGACAUCUAUGGCUUCCAGGAGCUUGACGUGCUCAAGACUCGGAACAUCUCCUUGGCCGACUACAAGGGGAAGGUGGUGAUGAUCGUGAAUGUGGCCACUUACUGAGGGCUCACCGGUCAGUACCAUACCAUGAAUGUGCUACAAGACACCCUUCAGGACUUUGAGAUCCUCGCCUUCCCUUGCAACCAGUUUGGGAUGCAAGAGCCUGGAGCCUCCGGGGAGGAGAUCAUGAAAGGCGUGGAGUUCGUGCGGCCCGGUGGAGGAUUCCAGCCCUCCUUCACCAUGUUCUCCAGGGUGGAGGUAAACGGGAAGAAUGAACACCCGCUCUUCACGUUCCUCAAGGACUUUUGCCCCUCCACUCGCGAGACCUUCGCGGACGAGAAACAUUUGUACUACUCUCCGCUGAAGAAUAACGACGUCCGCUGGAAUUGGGAGAAGUUCCUCGUCACUAGGAGCGGCAAGCCCUACAUGCGGUACGACCCGACCACCAAGCCAGAGGACAUCCGCAACGACAUCAUGUUCCUCCUGCAGCAGGAUGCUUAGGUGGCCAAGAUGGCGCUGUGAAGUGCAGAGAGAGGCGGCGUCCUGACGGUGGCCUGGCCUGUCGUGAUGAAGGCGUCGCCGGAAACCCAGCGGUGGGCGGCGCUGGAGGACGGGGCUGCCUGGGUCUGGUCUUCAGCACAUUCAGCCAGACUCAGGCGCCCCUGUACAGGGCAGGCUGAGCGUUGUGACGCACGCCUCUCUCGGCACACCUGCGCGUCAGCAUCAUCAAUCAUGAAAAUUCAGCACAGCAAACCUUCCAGAUUUUCCAUUGCUGUAGCGUGCAGUGCUGCCACCACGACAAGGAACGUUCGCUGAUGUGUGUACUCGCUAUGUGCCAGAAAGCAACACUGGCUAUGAGCCACUUCUCACGCUGUGUUCUAUAGUAAUGCGUUAUCACAUACUUGUACAUUGUAUAACAAACUUGAAUAAACAUAUUUGAUAAAACAA